UCGGGUAGGUUGCCGAUGCUCGUCGCAGACCUGCAGCAGCGGACGGCUCGCGAUCCUCGUCCGCCCAGCGACCCGCUCCCUCCUGCUCCGCAAAGAGAGCAAAAGAGAAAAAGCAAACGGGGCGAGCGAACGAGGCGGCCGCUUUCUCGAAAGCCGAUCGGAAAUUUUAAAAAGGAUAUUUCAAAAAAACCAACCUAAGCGUAUACGAACGGCGCUGCGGCUGAUAAAGGAACACGCGCGUUUGUCCCGUCCCCGCCUGUUAGCCGUGCCUGGGACGUAGUAGAAAAAAACACCACCGCCG
rnacentral:rRNA from 1 species